rnacentral:rRNA from 1 species
GAUUAAGUUAUUAAGGGCGCACGGUGGAUGCCUUGGCACUAGAAGCCGAUGAAGGACGUUACUAACGACGAUAUGCUUUGGGGAGCUGUAAGUAAGCUUUGAUCCAGAGAUUUCCGAAUGGGGAAACCCAGCAUGAGUUAUGUCAUGUUAUCGAUAUGUGAAUACAUAGCAUAUCAGAAGGCACACCCGGAGAACUGAAACAUCUUAGUACCCGGAGGAAGAAAAAGAAAAUUCGAUUCCC